rnacentral:rRNA from 1 species
CAGCCGCCACGGUAACACGUAGGGUGCGAGCGUUAACCGGAAUUACUGGGCGUAAAGCGUGCGCAGGCGGUUUUGUAAGACAGGCGUGAAAUCCCCGGGCUCAACCUGGGAAUGGCGCUUGUGACUGCAAAGCUAGAGUGCGGCAGAGGGGGAUGGAAUUCCGCGUGUAGCAGUGAAAUGCGUAGAUAUGCGGAGGAACACCGAUGGCGAAGGCAAUCCCCUGGGCCUGCACUGACGCUCAUGCACGAAAGCGUGGGGAGCAAACAGGAUUAGAUACCCCGGUAGUCCCUGUCUCUUAUAC